rnacentral:ncRNA from 1 species
CUCUUAUCAAGAGAGGCGGAGGGACUGGCCCUGUGAAGCCUCGGCAGCGGACUUGUGUACAUUCCUGUACACGAGGACUGUGCCAAUUCCUGCAAGCUCGGGUGCUCGAGCUUGGGAGAUAAGAA